ACUUCGUCUGCCAAGCAUUUUUACGGGUGGGUUAACAAGACUUUUUCGGAAAGCAAAAGAGAAAUGCUCAUGGGAUUUCGGGAAUAGGGCCAGAAAAAUUUUGAACUCAUCCCAAAAUCAGAAAACCAAAAAAAGUGGGGGAUAGGGAAGGAUCCUUGAACAAUGGGGCGACAUGUUCUCCUCCCCGAGAUAAAACAAAAGAACAGAGAGAGGGGGUUUUCUCGUGGAUUUGAAAAAUAUCCCAAUGGGACGUGGAACAGAAAAAUUCUUUUGCCGGCACUUCGGCGAAUAUAAUUUGAAUGUUCUUGUGAAAAUCUUAUCGUCUAUCUGUCAUUUAUGUAUAACGUCUACAGAAGAUAUUACCCAGCCAUUCAGCAUCCCA